rnacentral:rRNA from 1 species
UACGUAGGGUGCAAGCGUUAAUCGGAAUUACUGGGCGUAAAGCGUGCGCAGGCGGUUAUGUAAGACAGUUGUGAAAUCCCCGGGCUCAACCUGGGAACUGCAUCUGUGACUGCAUAGCUAGAGUACGGUAGAGGGGGAUGGAAUUCCGCGUGUAGCAGUGAAAUGCGUAGAGAUGCGGAGGAACACCGAUGGCGAAGGCAGCCCCCUGGGCCAACACUGACGCUCAGGCACGAAAGCGUGGGGAGCAAACAGG